GGAGAAGGUCCUGGGUGGUGAUGGGACAGGGAGAAGGUCCUGGGUGGUUCUGGGACAGGCAUGGAGAAGGUCCUGGAUGGUGAUGGGACAGGGAGAAGGUUCUAGCUGAUGCUGGGUGGGACAGGGAGAAGGUCCUGGGUGGUUCUGGGAGAAUGUCCUGGGUUGGACAGGGAGAAGGUCUUGGUUGGGGCAGGGAGAAGGUCCUGGUUGGUGUUGGGACAAACAGGGGGAAGGUCCUGGCUGGUGACGAGUGGUCAGGGAGAAGGUCCUGGGUGGAGAAGGGAGGGAGAAGGUUCUGGAUUGGGCAGGGAGAAGGUCGUGGCUGGUCCUGGGUGGGGCAGGCAAGGGGAAGGUCCUGUUGGUGAUGGGUGGGACAGGGAGAAGGUCCUGGGUGAUGUUGGGACAAGGGGGAAGGUCCUGGUUGGUGCUGGGUGGGGCAGGGAAAAAGUCCCAGGUGAUGAUGGAAGGGCAGGGAGGGAGAAAGUCCUGGCUGGUGAUGAGUGGUCAGGGAGAAGGUCCUGGGUGGGGCAGGGAGGGAGAAGGUCUUGGAUUGGACAGGGAGAAGGUCGUGGGUGGUGA
rnacentral:lncRNA from 1 species